CACAUCUCAUUGUAUAUAGUAUAUACUCUCUCUCUUUCUUUCUUUCCAUGUAGUAGUAGAGCACCUCUUCGAGACUUCGGAAAUGAGUUCUUCUCAGAUACUUCCCAGAUCGUCUGUUCCCUCUUUUUUGCCAAGCAUCAAAGCAUUUUCAAGAACUCUGAUCUCCGGCUUGGGAAUGACGAGUCCAGGUGGAUUUCACAGAAAUGUUAGGAGUGCCCACUGGAAAGUAAAAG